rnacentral:lncRNA from 1 species
GGAACAUUUUGUGAAGAAAUAAUGGUUGAAAACUUAUCAAGUUUAGUAAAAAGACGUGAAACCCAUAGAUUCAAGUAGCUGAACAAACUCCAUCUUGGGAAAAACCACAGAUAACCAUGUAUAGACACAUAUUAAAAUUCAUGGACAAAGAUCUUGAAAGCAGUUAGAGUGAAAUAAUGGGAAAUCAGCAAUUCAAAUGACUGCAUAUUUCUCAUUAGAAACCUUGGAAGCCAGAAGGAAGUGGCCCAACAUUUUCAAAAUACUGAAAGAAAAGUUACAGAUGUACUUGUUCAUUUCUCUCUUUUUCUCCUUUUUAAAAUUUUCUUUUUCACCUUCUUUUCUUUUUUUUUUUCUUUUCUCCUGCUUUUCUCCAUCUGCCUUUCUUCUUUAACUUGACCAGUAACUCCCACAAGCAUUGCUUAGCAUUUGGACCUAAAGAAUUUACUAAUCCCUGCAGCAAAACUUCCUAAUUAACUGUGACUUUCUUGAGUUUAAUUCUAGAUAAUGGUUUGUUUGAGCUGUGCCUUCGUUGUUAAAAUAUCAAGGAGCAUACUUUAAUCUGUGCGUGUAGCUACAUACAGUUAAUUUUUAAAUGAGCUUUAUGCUGGUCUUCAUUUCCACAUGUCAGUUGCUUUCUAAAGGGAAUUGAAGAAAAAUUGAGCAAGUAUCCAUUUAUUCAGAAUGUAAAUGUUUGUUCUGAAUAAUUAAAUGUUCUAGUUUGCUAAAAGUUACCAAAUUCUUUAAAUAAAUUACCAGUAUUCAAAUAAUUUUAAUAUACUAAAGUAUAGUUACAUAGAAAUUAAAUUCCAGAGGUUGAAAGAUACUUCAGGAACUUUAAACAUUUCACAGUCAAGUCUAACAAAUACUAAUUGUUAUUCUAGCCUGGAGAGAUUAGUUUAGAGUUUAUCUAAUUGAGUAUCUCCAAAAUUGAUACUUAAAGUAAACCAUAGUAUAAUUUUUGCUUGCUUGAAAUUCGUGUAUGUGUUUCAAGAAAUUAAAUGUAGAAAGAAGUAAUUUUUUUUUCUAUAUUUGGGAUAAAUAGGAAUUGAUUUUAGUAUUUCAUUCAUGAAGUUCAUAAUUGUUACCUUCUACUCUAUCAGUAGAAGAAAUGGAAACUCCCAGAAUUGAUGAAAGCCAUUGACUGCCCCUUGUGCGUGAUACAGAUGGUCAGCUUAGUACAGCCUGUCAGUUCGACCUUAAGACUUUAGCCCUUC